GGUUUCGGCCUAGUGGCGGACGGGUGAGUAACGCGUAGGUAUCUAUCCAUGGGUGGGGGAUAACACUGGGAAACUGGUGCUAAUACCGCAUGACACCUGAGGGUCAAAGGCGUACGUCGCCUGUGGAGGAGCCUGCGUUUGAUUAGCUAGUUGGUGGGGUAAAGGCCUACCAAGGCGAUGAUCAAUAGCUGGUUUGAGAGGAUGAUCACCCUCACUGGGACUGAGACACCGCCCAGACUCCUACGGGAGGCAGCAGUGGGGAAUAUUGGACAAUGGGGGCAACCCUGAUCCAGCAAUGCCGCGUGUGUGAAGAAGGUCUUCGGAUUGUAAAGCACUUUCGACGGCGACGAUGAUGACGGUACCCGUAGAAUAAGCCCCGGCUAACUUCGUGCCAGCAGCCGCGGUAAUACGAAGGGGGCUAGCGUUGCUCGGAAUGA
rnacentral:rRNA from 1 species